rnacentral:rRNA from 1 species
UACGGGGGGGGCAAGCGUUGUUCGGAAUUACUGGGCGUAAAGGGUGCGUAGGCUGUGCUCUAAGUCGGAUGUGAAAACUCUGGGCUCAACCCAGAGCCUGCAUCCGAAACUGGAGUGCUAGAGUUCUGGAGGGGGUAGCGGAAUUCCUGGUGUAGCGGUGAAAUGCGUAGAUAUCAGGAGGAACACCGGUGGCGAAGGCGGCUACCUGGACAGAAACUGACGCUGAGGCACGAAAGCUAGGGGAGCAAACAGG